UUUUAUUCUCUGAUAAUUUUAAGAUUGCUUCCUUAGAAUAAAAGACCUAGAAUAGCCAAAGCAAUUCUAUGCCAAAAAGCCAUGUGAAAGGCAUCACAAAACCCAACUUCAAAGUAUAUGACAGAGCUAUACUAAUGAAAAGACUGCAUGAUACUGGCUUAAGAACAGACAUGUAGACCAAGGAACAGAAUAGAAGAUACAGAGACAAAAUAUACAGAUACAGUCAUCUGAUCCUUGACAAAGGUGCCAGAAAAUACAUCAGAGAAAAGACAAUCUUUUAAAAAAAAAUGGUGCUGGGAAAACUAAUUAUCCAUAUGUAGAAGAAUGAAACUAAAUCCCUAUCUCUCAUCUUGCACAAAAAAUCAGCUGAAAGUGAAUCAAAGACCUAGGAAUUAGACCAGAAACUUCGUAACUCCUAGGAAAAAACCUGGGGUUAACACUCCAAUAUAUGGGUGUCAGCAACGAUUUCCUCAAUAGGAAUCCUAUAGCUCAGGAAAUAAUAUAAAGAAUUGAUAAGUAGGGCUGGGGUUGUGGCUCAGUGGUAGAGUGUUUGCCUAGCAUGCGUGAGGCACUUGGUUCGAUCCCCAGCACCACAUAAAAAAAAAAUAAAAUAAAGGUGUUGUGUCCAUCUACAACUAAAAAUAAAUAUAAAAAAAAGAAUUGACAAGUAGGAUGGAAUCAAAUUUAAAAAGCUGCACAAUAAAGGAAAUAAGAAUAUGAAAAAGGAACCCACAGAAUGCGAGAAAACCUUUGCUAGCGACUCUUUGACAAAGGAUAAUAUCCAGAAUAUAUAAAGAACUCAAAAAACUUUACACCAAAAAAACUAAAAAACAAUUAAUAAAUGGGUAAAUGAACUAAAUAUAUUGACACUUGUCAAAGGAAAAAAUACAGGGGCUGGAGUUUUGGUUCAGUGGUAGAGCACUUGCUUUGCAAGUGUGAGGCACUGGGUUCGAUCUUAGCACCACAAAAAACAAAGGCAUUGAGUGCAUACCCAACUAAAAUAUAUAUAUUUUUUAAAAAAUAAAGAGAUACAAAUGACCAUCAAAUACAUGAAAAAAUGUUCAACAUUUUUAGCAAUUAGGAAAUGCAAGUCAAAUUACACUGAGAUUUUAUCUCACACCAGUCAGAAUGGCAGCCAUCAAAAAUACAAACUGUAAUAAGUGCUGGGAGGAUGUGGAGAAAAAGGAACACUUUUACAUUGUUGGUGGGACUGUUAAUUAGUACAGCCACUAUGGAAAUCAGUAUGAAGUUUCCUCAAAAGACUAGGCAUGAAACCACUCUGUGACCCGGUUGUAUCACUCCUUGGUAUUUAGCCUAAAAAAUUAAAGUCAUCAUACUGUAGUGAUACAUGAAUACCCAUGUGUAUAGCAGUAUAAUUCACAAUAGCCAAAUUAUGGAACCAGCCUAGGUGACAUCAGCAGAUAAAUGGAUAAAGCAAAUGUAUAUAUAACCAUUGGAGUUAUAUUCAGCCAUAAAAGAAGAAUGAAAUUAGGUCAUCUACAGAAAAUGGAUGAAAUUUGAAAGCAUUAUGUUAAAUGAAAUAAGCCAAACUCAGAAGGUUAAGGGUCAUAUGUUUUCUCUCCUAUAUAGAUGCUAAAGAGGAAAAAUAAAAAGAAAGGUGCUGGUGGGGGAAAUCUCAUAAAAGUUGAAGGAAAACCAGUAGAGUUGAGGAAAG
rnacentral:lncRNA from 1 species